UAGGGAAUUUUGCGCAAUGGGCGAAAGCCUGACGCAGCAACGCCGCGUGUGUGAUGAAGCCCCUAGGGGUGUAAAACACUGUCAGUAGGGACGAAUAAUGACGGUACCUACAGAGGAAGCACCGGCUAACUCCGUGCCAGCAGCCGCGGUAAUACGGGGGGUGCAAGCGUUGUCCGGAAUCAUUGGGCGUAAAGCGUUCGUAGGCGGCAUGCCAAGUCUGGUGUUAAAUCCCGGGGCUCAACUCCGGUCAAGCAUUGGAUACUGGUAAGCUAGAAUGUGGUAGAGGUUAAGGGAAUUCCUGGUGUAGCGGUGAAAUGCGUAGAUAUCAGGAGGAACACCGGUGGCGUAAGCGCUUAACUGGGCCAUAAUUGACGCUGAGGAACGAAAGCCGGGGUAGCAA
rnacentral:rRNA from 1 species